GUAGUUGGCAAGCGUGUCCGGAAUUAUGGCGUAAGCGCGCGCAGGUGGGUCUUUAAGUCUGAUGUGAAAGACCCCCGGGCUCAACCGGGGAGGGUCAUUGGAAACUGGGGAACUUGAGUGCAGGAGAGGAAAGUGGAAUUCCACGUGUAGCGGUGGAAUGCGUAGAUAUGUGGAGGAACACCAGUGGCGAAGGCGACUUUCUGGCCUGUAACUGACACUGAGGCGCGAAAGCGUGGGGAGCAAACAGGAUUAGAUACCCUGGUAGUCCACGCCGUAAACGAUGAGUGCUAAGUGUUGGGGGGUUUCCGGCCCCUCAGUGCUGCAGCUAACGCAUUAAGCACUCCGCCUGGGGAGUACGGUCGCAAGACUG
rnacentral:rRNA from 1 species